rnacentral:rRNA from 1 species
CCACCAAGGCGACGAUCAGUAGGGGUUCUGAGAGGAAGGUCCCCCACAUUGGAACUGAGACACGGUCCAAACUCCUACGGGAGGCAGCAGUGAGGAAUAUUGGUCAAUGGACGAGAGUCUGAACCAGCCAAGUAGCGUGCAGGAUGACGGCCCUAUGGGUUGUAAACUGCUUUUAUAAGGGAAUAAAGUGAGUCUCGUGAGACUUUUUGCAUGUACCUUAUGAAUAAGGACCGGCUAAUUCCGUGCCAGCAGCCGCGGUAAUACGGAAGGUCCGGGCGUUAUCCGGAUUUAUUGGGUUUAAAGGGAGCGUAGGCCGGAGAUUAAGCGUGUUGUGAGAUGUAGACGCUCAACGUCUGCACUGCAGCGCGAACUGGCUUCCUUGAGUACGCACAAAGUGGGCGGAAUUCGUGGUGUAGCGGUGAAAUGCUUAGAUAUCACGAAGAACUCCGAUUGCGAAGGCAGCUCACUGGAGCGCAACUGACGCUGAAGCUCGAAAGUGC